GGACCCGCACAAGCAGUGGAGCAUGUGGUUUAAUUCGAAGAUACGCGCAGAACCUUACCAACGCUUGACAUGUUCGUCGCGAGACUAAGAGAUUAGUUUCUUCAGUUCGGCUGGACGAAACACAGGUGCUGCAUGGCUGUCGUCAGCUCGUGUCGUGAGAUGUUGGGUUAAGUCCCGCAACGAGCGCAACCCCCUACUUUUAGUUGUCACCAUUUAGUUGGGCACUUUAAAAGAACUGCCAGUGAUAAGCUGGAGGAAGGUGGGGAUGACGUCAAGUCCUCAUGGCCCUUAUGUGUUGGGCUACACACGUGCUACAAUGGCACUUACAAUGGGAUGCAAAGAGGCGACUCUUAGCUAAUCCCUAAAAUGUGUCUCAGUUCGGAUUGUACUCUGUAACUCGAGUGCAUGAAGCUGGAAUUGCUAGUAAUCG
rnacentral:rRNA from 1 species